GGUGGAGAGCAGAGAAGGAGGGCUUUGAGAACAGCAGUGUGGGAGGAGGAUGUGUCCAGUGUAUGAGGCUGAGAAAGAGCUUGAGAGUGAGGAAGGAAGAGAGGGAAGAAGACAGAGUUCAUAGGAAAGCCAAGAGGAGUCCUCCCGGAACACCUCACAAAUAUCAGCCGCAGGAGGGCCACAGAAGCAAGACCCUCAGUGGAAUUUUCACAACUUGAGAAGGUCGCAGCGGGCACCACAGCCUUCCUUUUCGUUUAUGCCUUCUCCCUCAGGAGAGACUUCUCAGGACAGUCUCCAUGAUUACACCAUGCUUUCAAAUUGUUUCGAGUCACUGAAGAGAAUGCACAUGCCUAGAGACGGCACAAUCAAAUCUGAGUAUUCCCCAAACUAUAAAAGACCAACCACAGAAGCCAGGAAAGUAAGAAAGGACCGUGGAGGGAGGAGCCCUAGAAGAAGGGAAUAGCAGGAUACAAAUGGUAUGAUGCAGUAAAUGGGAAAAAAUAAGGAGGAAUACUUUAAUGGAGGGAGAAGUGUGCAGUACAGAAGGAGGAGGGAGGACAAAGAACAUUCAGAAUGUUUGAAAAGCCUUUAGGAAGCAUUAUUUUGUAUUCACCUCAAACUAUGAACAAUAUAUAGGCAUAUCUAUCUAUCUAUCUAUCUAUAUAUCUCUUAUGUAUUUUUCUAUCUUUUUAUGGAAGCAAGUUAUGCUACUUGGUCUGACAAUAUCCCCCAUCAAAAUCCAUAGACCUUCAAGCAAAAGCCCUAGCAUCAGGCAUGACAGGACCUCCUUUCCAGAUGUUGGUCAGGGUAGUUCAAGGGAACUCACAAAACAAUAUAGGCGACCACUGUUGCUCUCGGUUGCCUCUCAGAGGAUGAAGUAAAGGCCACCAUGCACUUCUAACAUAGGACUCAGAAGAUUCAAACUGGAUCUAACCUGGAAAGCCUCCUCUUGGAGGACCGGAUUUCACACACAGGAAGGUGCUUUGCCAGUUGCCAAAGAAGAAAAGCAAUCAGUUCACCCACCCAGCUGUGAUGUUUAUGAACCACAGUAACAGCCAGUGCAGCAAGAUAUCCCUAAAAGUGCAAUAGUGGCACGCGUAUCGUGGCCAGCGGUAACCAAUAGCUCUCUAAUUGGACUUAAGGGCUGCUCUACGGGAGGGAAAUUAUGUCUGGAUCUGGAAACCUAGUCAGCGACCCACGGCUAUUAAGGUAAUGGAUCUUAGAAGAGAACCCACUAUUGCCGCUUUCCUAGACCAGCCUAACUCCUAAUUGCUUUCUGAAUAUUUAUCCUCACACCUACAGGUAAAUGUAGCUCCCCUUUCUCAUCAGCAGAUGAAGCAACACUGCAGGGAACUACAGCUGGUCAAAGCACACAGAAUAACUGACAAUGGAGCGUCCUGCCUCAGCGGACGUAUCUACAACACAACUCCUGUAGCUAAGGCUCCAGUGGGCAUGACCAAAGAGGGGCCAGAAAGAGGGUGCGGGCCAGAGGACCAAGAAGUCUUCUGUGGUAUUAUGUCUCCAAAAGAAAAUGAUAGGAAAGCUACCCCUGCCCCAUGAGAGUGCAGUGAUUUGGCUGCCAGAGGAAGACCUCAACAAUGCCAGUAGACAUGCUAAGGUAGAAGGAGGGAUUCUCAUGGGGCCCUACCCCAUGACAAGGAACCACACAGACAAUGAAGGAUAAGUGAGAGACAGAGAAUUAGUCUUCCUCAGGGAUAAGCUUCUUAACUGGUUACCCAGUAUCAAGUGGUCAGCCCUGAGGUUAUGUACAUGUAAGCACUAUAUUUUUCUCUCUCUGUGUUUCUGUCUGUCUCUUUCUCUCUACCUCUCUUUCUGUUUCUCUCUGUGUGUCUCUGUCUUUGUCUCUGUCUCUCUCUCUGUUUCUCCAUCUCUCUCUCUCUCUCUCUCUCUCUCUCUCUCUCUCUCUCUCUCUUUCUGUGUGUGUGUACCAAACUGACACAUGCUAGUGUUUUCUGGGAAAAAGAACCUUAGGUGAAGGAAAAAAAAAAAAGGCCUCUAUCCGAUUGUCUGUUGGCAAAUGUAUAAAACCUUUUCUCAGUUGGUGUUUGUUGUGGCAGGGCCAGCCUAUAGCAUUCUGCCUGGGCAGGUCAUCUUGAGUUGUCUAAGAAAGUGAACUGAACAAGCCAUGGGAAGCAAGUCAGGAGCUGCAUACCUCCAUCAUCCCUUCUUCAGUUCCUGCCUCCGGGUUCCUUCACGGUGUUCCUACCCCUGUCUUCUCCCCAUGAAGAAGAUCUGGGAGCUGAAAUAAACCCUUUUCUUCCCC
rnacentral:lncRNA from 1 species